CCCUUAGACGUUCUGGGCCGCACGCGCGCUACACUGACGAAGGCAACGAGCUUUCCUUUACCGAAAGGUACGGGUAAUCUUUUGAAACUUCGUCGUGCUGGGGAUAGAUCCUUGCAAUUUUUGAUCUUAAACGAGGAAUGCCUAGUAAGCGCAAGUCAUCAACUUGCGUUGAUUACGUCCCUGCCCUUUGUACACACCGCCCGUCGCUACUACCGAUUGAAUGGUUUAGUGAGGCCUUCGGAUCCGCGACUCGUUUUGUGGAGAAGUUGGACAAACUCAGUCAUUUAGAGGAAGUAAAANUCGUANCA
rnacentral:rRNA from 1 species